rnacentral:rRNA from 1 species
GACAGAGGAGCCAAGCGUUGUCCGGAUUGACUGGGCGUAAAGCGCACGCAGGCGGCUGUGCACGUGGGGUGUGAAAGCUGGCGGCUUAACUGCCAGACGCCACCUCAUACGGCACGGCUCGAGCCCGUGAGAGGUCCACGGAAUUGCCGGUGUAGUGGUGAAAUGCGUAGAGAUCGGCAGGAACACCCAGGGGGAAACCAGUGGACUGGCACGGUGCUGACGCUUAGGUGCGAAAGCGUGGGGAGCGAACCGG